rnacentral:rRNA from 1 species
UACGAAGGGGGCUAGCAUUGCUCGGAAUCACUGGGCGUAAAGGGUGCGUAGGCGGAUUGUUAAGUCAGGGGUGAAAUCCUGGAGCUCAACUCCAGAACUGCCUUUGAUACUGGCGAUCUUGAGUCCGGGAGAGGUGAGUGGAACUGCGAGUGUAGAGGUGAAAUUCGUAGAUAUUCGCAAGAACACCAGUGGCGAAGGCGGCUCACUGGCCCGGUACUGACGCUGAGGUGCGAAAGCGUGGGGAGCAAACAGG